ACUCCUACGGGAGGCAGCAGUAGGGAAUCUUCCACAAUGGGCGCAAGCCUGAUGGAGCAACACCGCGUGAGUGAAGAAGGGUUUCGGCUCGUAAAGCUCUGUUGUUAAAGAAGAACACGUAUGAGAGUAACUGUUCAUACGUUGACGGUAUUUAACCAGAAAGUCACGGCUAACUACGUGCCAGCAGCCGCGGUAAUACGUAGGUGGCAAGCGUUAUCCGGAUUUAUUGGGCGUAAAGAGAGUGCAGGCGGUUUUCUAAGUCUGAUGUGAAAGCCUUCGGCUUAACCGGAGAAGUGCAUCGGAAACUGGAUAACUUGAGUGCAGAAGAGGGUAGUGGAACUCCAUGUGUAGCGGUGGAAUGCGUAGAUAUAUGGAAGAACACCAGUGGCGAAGGCGGCUACCUGGUACUGCAACUGACGCUGAGACUCGAAAGCAUGGGUAGCGAACAGGAUUAGAUACCCUGGUAGGAUAGCC
rnacentral:rRNA from 1 species